CAGGAUUUGCUAAGCUGCUGUUACUGAAACGAGGGGCUGUUCCGACCGUAAGGUCAUCAUCACAACCGCAUGCUGUUUUAUCUUGCAGCCAUGCACUUCAAUGAGAAUGCCCCACAACGGAAGACAGCCAAGGAGAAACUAUGUACAGACUUGCCAAACAAUUUAUCAAAGACCCUCUUCCUUAUUGGGAUGCCGUCCUGUGCCCCAGGACUUGUGUGCUCAGCUUGACAGACCUUCCAUGGAGGAUGCUGUUGCUGAACAUGCGUCACGGUUCAGUCGAAAAGGGGUCUGAAUCCAACGUACUGCCCUGAAGUAUCCGGAAGCUCCCUCCAUAUGCGUAGCACCACACACGAGGGGAUCAUGACACGAACGCUUCUUCUAAGGAAACCCCAGCUCCUGCUCACAAAAGACCUGUAGGCCAAGUCACUUCAUUGCCUGCAACGAGAACAGGGUGGAAAAGCAAU